AAUCAGCAUGUCUCCCAUGGAUGGCAGCGCCGUUUGGCGGCCACUGCCCGCAGUCGCCGCCAGAGGCGCCACGAACUACGCGGGCGUCGCGGGCGUCGGAGCAGACGAAGACUUUGCAGGAGCCUGGGUUCUACGGUUUACGUGUUCUCUGAAGCGAAAAUGAACCGGAGAAGAAAUCCACGCAACCCACGGCAGAACGACCAGCUCAGCAUGAGCCCCGAAGACAUGAGAAGCAUGCUGGUGGGCAUCCUCAUCGUCUUGGAGGCAAUGCACCAGUUGCGCCAAAUUCUGAUUGAACUCCUCCAGCGCGUCCUGAGGAUGAUGGAGUAGACAUGAACUUGGUGGACUUCCUCCUGCUGAUCGUGGAGGAGCUCUUUCGACGACUCAACGAGAUGAUUGAGGCACUGAGAAGAAACGAGGAGUAGGAUUGAGAUGUGAAAGGUCCCGUCUCUUCUUGCUGCCAAGAAGGCAAUAAAGCUUGC